rnacentral:tRNA from 1 species
GCCUUCGUAGCGUAACGGUAGCAUACUCGACGCAUAUUCGAAAGGUCCAGGUUCGAGUCCAGGCAAGGGCA